GACUGAAGACGAAGGGAUUCAGGAGGGGUGUGAUGAUGCUGGAGAGGAUAAAGAGGAUCUUGUUGAGGUGCAGGCUGCUCUUCUGUGAGGGGUGAACAUAGACAAAGAUGGAGAUCCCAUAGCCCACGGAGACCACCGUGAAGUGAGAGGCACAGGUGGCAAAGGCUUUGCGUUGACCUUGGCCUGAGGGUAUCUUCAGAAUGGUGGAGAUGAUGUAAACAUAGGAGACCACUGUGAGUGAGAGGGAGCUGAGGAUCAGGACCAGUGAGCUGAGAAAGUCCAACAGCUCAAUAGCACGAAUGUCAGCACAGGCCAGGUGGAGGAGAGGGGCGCUGUCACAGAAAAAGUGCUCAAUCACGUUGGGACCACAGUGUGGCAGUCCUGCCUUGAGGAUGGUGGAUGGGAGCAUGAGGAGAAAGCCACCCACCCAGGAGAGGAUGACGAGGUGGGCACAGAGUGAGCUGGUCAUAAUUGCAGGGUACUGAAGAGGACUGCAAAUGGCCACAUAGCGGUCAUAGGACAUGACAGCAAAAGGAAUAAACUCAGUGCAUCCGGAAAGAAAAUAGAAAUAG
rnacentral:lncRNA from 1 species